rnacentral:rRNA from 1 species
CAUCGGAUGUGCCCAGAUGGGAUUAGCUAGUAGGUGGGGUAACGGCUCACCUAAGCGACGAUCCCUAGCUGGUCUGAGAGGAUGACCAGCCACACUGGAACUGAGACACGGUCCAGACUCUUACGGGAGGCAGCAGUGGGGAAUAUUGCACAAUGGGCGCAAGCCUGAUGCAGCCAUGCCGCGUGUAUGAAGAAGGCCUUCGGGUUGUAAAGUACUUUCAGUGGGGAGGAAGGCGAAGAGGUUAAUAACCUUUUUGAUUGACGUUACCUGCAGAAGAAGCACCGGCUAACUCCGUGCCAGCAGCCGCGGUAAUACGGAGGGUGCAAGCGUUAAUCGGAAUUACUGGGCGUAAAGCGCACGCAGGCGGUCUGUCAAGUCGGAUGUGAAAUCCCCGGGCUCAACCUGGGAACUGCAUUCGAAACUGGUAGGCUAGAGUCUUGUAGAGGGGGGUAGAAUUCCAGGUGUAGCGGUGAAAUGCGUAGAAAUCUGGAGGAAUACCGGUGGCGAAGGCGGCCCCCUGGACAGAGACUGACGCUCAGGUGCGAAAGCGUGGGGAGCAAACAGGAUUAGAUACCCUGGUAGUCCACGCCGUAAACGAUGUCGACUUGGAGGUUGUGCCCUUGAGGCGUAGCUUCCGGAGCUAACGCGUUAAGUCGACCGCCUGGGGAGUACGGCCGCAAGGUUAAAACUCAAAUGAAUUGACGGGGGCCCGCACAAGCGGUGGAGCAUGUGGUUUAAUUCGAUGCAACGCGAAGAACCUUACCUGGCCUUGACAUGCACGGAAUUUAGCAGAGAUGCCUUAGUGCCUUCGGGAACCGUGAGACAGGUGCUGCAUGGCUGUCGUCAGCUCGUGUUGUGAAAUGUUGGGUUAAGUCCCGCAACGAGCGCAACCCUUAUCCUUUGUUGCCAGCACGUAAAGGUGGGAACUCAAAGGAGACUGCCGGUGAUAAACCGGAGGAAGGUGGGGAUGACGUCAAGUCAUCAUGCCCUUACGGCCAGGGCUACACACGUGCUACAAUGGCGCAUACAAAGAGAAGCGACCUCGCGAGAGCAAGCGGACCUCAUAAAGUGCGUCGUAGUUCGGAUCGGAGUCUGCAACUCGACUCCGUGAAGUCGGAAUCGCUAGUAAUCGUAGAUCAGAAGCUACGGUGAAUACGUUCCCGGGCCUUGUACACACCGCCCGUCACACCAUGGGAGUGGGUUGCAAAAGAAGCAGGUAGCUAACUUCGGA